GGUCGAACCGGUUGAAUCUAUGAACCAGUGAACCAGUAACUAGAACAGUUCGAUGACCGGUUCAGUUUUCAGAACCUUGGGUGACACAGAGAGAAAG